rnacentral:rRNA from 1 species
GACGAACGCUGGCGGCGUGCUUAACACAUGCAAGUCGAACGGAAAGGCCCUGCUUUUGUGGGGUGCUCGAGUGGCGAACGGGUGAGUAACACGUGAGUAACCUGCCCUUGACUUUGGGAUAACUUCAGGAAACUGGGGCUAAUACCGGAUAGGAGCUCCUGCUGCAUGGUGGGGGUUGGAAAGUUUCGGCGGUUGGGGAUGGACUCGCGGCUUAUCAGCUUGUUGGUGGGGUAGUGGCUUACCAAGGCUUUGACGGGUAGCCGGCCUGAGAGGGUGACCGGCCACAUGGGGACUGAGAUCAGGCCCAGACGCCUACGGGAGGCAGCAGGGGGGAAGAUGGCACAAGGGGCGGAAGCAGGAUGCAGCAACGCCGUGUGCGGGAGGACGGCAUGCGGGUUGUAAACAGGUUGCGCCGGUGACGAAGCGUGAGUGACGGUAAUGGGUAAAGAAGCACCGGCUAACUACGUG